rnacentral:rRNA from 1 species
CCUACGGGAGACAGCAGUGGGGAAUAUUGCACAAUGGGGGAAACCCUGAUGCAGCAACGCCGCGUGAAGGAAGACGGUUUUCGGAUUGUAAACUUCUGUUCUUAGUGAAGAAUAAUGACGGUAGCUAAGGAGCAAGCCACGGCUAACUACGUGCCAGCAGCCGCGGUAAUACGUAGGUGGCAAGCGUUGUCCGGAAUUACUGGGUGUAAAGGGAGCGCAGGCGGGAAGCCAAGUCAGCUGUGAAAACUACGGGCCUAACUUGUAGACUGCAGGUGAAACUGGUUUUCUUUAGUGAAGUAGGGGGUGGCGGAAUUCCGGGUGUAGCCGGGAA